GUGUGCCUGAAGAGAAUCGGUUCACGAAGGUUGUCUUGGGCGAAAGGCUGAACGAACCGAUGGAGCUUGCCGUGCUUCCGGACGAACGCGUGCUCCUCAUCGAACGCCGGGGCGAUCUGAAGCGCUAUGAUCCGGCUACUGGGCGGAUCGACGUAAUCGCCUCGAUCCCGGUCAGUACGAAGUACACUGCAGCGAACGGGGA
rnacentral:misc_RNA from 1 species